rnacentral:rRNA from 1 species
UACGGGGGGGGCAAGCGUUGUUCGGAAUUACUGGGCGUAAAGGGCUCGUAGGCGGCCAACUAAGUCCGACGUGAAAUCCCCAGGCUUAACCUGGGAACUGCGUCGGAUACUGGAUGGCUUGAGUUUGGGAGAGGGAUGCGGAAUUCCAGGUGUAGCGGUGAAAUGCGCAGAUAUCAGGAGGAACACCGAUGGCGAAGGCAGGUCUCUGGGCCACUACUGACGCUGAGAAGCGAAAGCAUGGGGAGCGAACAGG